UUUCUUGCUCCCUGGCAUGUAGUAUGUUAAUGUCAUUCUGUGUUUCAUAUAUUAUAAUAAUAAAAAAAAUUUUAAAAAUAAAUAAAAACUUACU